GCCGAAGUAGCUCAGUGGUAGAGCAACUGAUUCGUAAUCAGUAGGCCGGGAGUUCGAAUCUCCCCUUCGGCACCA
rnacentral:tRNA from 1 species